rnacentral:lncRNA from 1 species
GUGGCAGGUUCAACAGAAACAGGUUGAGAAGAAAAACUAACAGGGUCUGGAACAAUAGAAGGAGGAGAUGUAGGUGGUAAAGAGGGUUGAUCAGUAACUUCUGAGAAAAAAGGUGAUGAAGAUGAAAAUUUUGGUGACCAAAUCCAAUGAAUUUAAAUUUUGUGUAUCAAUAGGUGAGUGCUUGUCACUAGUAAGAAAAGGAAAUAUGUUUUCAUAAAAUACUACAUUCCUUGAUAGAAAAAUUUCCCUUGAGUUGAAAUCUAACAAAAGGUAGCCUUUCACUCCUGUUUUAAAACCAAGUAAAACACAUUUUCUUGCACGAGGUUGAAAUUUUGUUCUAUGUGCUUGAAGAGUU